rnacentral:sRNA from 1 species
GCAACCGCAAAAUCAGUUGUCGGGAUUGGACCCCGGUUAGAGACCGCGACAGACAUACACCGCGAGCGUGUUUUUU